ensembl:lncRNA
GGCUUUAUUUAUUUCAGUCAAUUCAUUUGCUGUAAAAUGGAUUUGUUUCGUUUGUUUAACAGCCUGGACAGAUAGCCAUGGUUUAAAAGCCACCAUCCCACACAGACUCCCAUGGGAUGAGUUAUCCUGAGCCUGGCUGCCAGAGCCCAGGCAAACAUCUUGCACUGUGCCCUGGGGUCAGUGCAUGUGGCUGCAGGAGGCCACUGGGAGAAGAAGAAAAUUCCUGAGCUGAGGAUGUUUCACAGGGAAAGCAGAGCUUACACUCUCCAGAUGUUCCAGCUCAGGGCGUGUCAGCAAAAGCUCUCUGGCUGCUCUCAGCUGUCAAGAUAGCGCUCAGAGGAGGGGAAGAGCAAAUUCCUGCCUCACUGCUCCAAACUGGGGCGCUUGGGUUCACAGCAUCAGAGCCAACACAGGGACCCACGGCUGGAAGCAAACCUGGAAUGCACUGGCUGUGCAUUUCACAGGGGAACUCUGCUGGUUUGGUUCUCCUUCCCGAAGCCUGGCGAUGCACUACAGAGCCUCCCUCCCACAGCUCUGUGGGACAUGGAUUUCUAAGGAAUCUUUCAAACUUGAUGGAAAGUUUAUCUAGUUUUGUAUAUUUGUAUGCAAAUACUGAAAUGAGGCGCGCUGAGUUGGCUUCUGUUGGAAUGGCAUUGGUUUUAUGUCUCUUGUGUCCCGCUACUCACCGAGACUGAUAAUGGAAUCAAAUCUUUUAAAAUGCCUCUCAGUUGCCCCAUCUCUGUAAAAGCUAAGAAAACCAACACAGCUCCUUUGCAUCCCACCGUGUUCUAGCCCAGGAAAUGUUCCCUUUCCACACAGAUACACGUCCCCCUCAAAUCCCUGCUUCUGGCUGGGGUGCAGCUCCUCCAGAGGCUGCCCUGCUCCCUUUAGUUCCUGUUUCUCUCCAGGUUAUUUUCCCUUUCUUGCUUAUUUUUCAAUCUCAGGAGAGUUAUCCACAAGCUCAAGCCCCCUAUCACAUUUGUUCAAGGAACACAAAGCAGGGACCAUUUGUUCCAACUUCCCCCUGCAACAGAAAAGAAAAAAAAAUGUUGGUGAAAUAAUAUUUCUCAUGAGAUUUUGUUAACACUUUCUCCUACUGGUGCCCUGGAUACAGAGAUGGGUUUGUUGCCCCCAGCUUCCACUGUGGCUGCUGCUGCUGCAGACACUUGGGCUCUGAUCCCAGGAAUUCCAGGGGGGAGUUUCUUCAAACACUCAAGGGGACAGAGAUUCCAGUCAACACAUCCUUGUAAAUUAUUCAGUGGAAAACUGGAAGACACUUCCUGAAUGAUCCAAAUAAAAUUUUUGAGUAUUUUACCGACAGACUUUCUAGAAAGAAAAAGAAGAAAAAAAGAAAUAACACAGAUGAAAAUACAGCUCUGGGUUUGCAUAUUUACAUUAUUACAGAAUCGUGUUUGAAUAUCAGGUUGAUUAUUGCAAAACCCAGUGGGUUAUUCAUUCCUGCACCUGUUUCUGUAGCAAGCACAUUCUCCCUUGAAUCAGCACUGAUCCACCCGGCUGAUGAACACUAAGUACCAUGAAAUAUUUGGCAGUAAGAGGAAUUACUCAUGAAGACUCCGGCCUGGACAGCACUUUCAGACCCUGCUACUCCCUGUCUGCUCUGAAGUGGCCAAAAGAGAUAACGUGACUCAGGCACUGGGCGUGCCCUCCUGCCUAUCAAAAAUAACAUCUUAGUCCCUGGCCCGAGGGAGAACAAGAAGAAAAAAGGAUUUUUCUUCUCUUUUCCCUUGAGAAAAGGGAAAGAAGAAAAAAGGCUGCUAAAUGAUCCAAGUAUCCUGCACUCCUGCAACCCCAGCUGGAAAAAUGCACCUCCACAAGUCAAGGAGUUGGUAAACCGAAGAAAAUUCAGGAAAGUGCUCUGAGAGUGAAAAAGGAUUGAAAUAACAAACUUUACAGUGGAAGGAGCUCGGUCCUUUCAAGCCUAGCAAAGGGAGGGGGCUCCUGCUCCCAGUCUGUGUGCCUGAGUAGGAGCACAGGCUCGCAGACAAGGCUAUAAUGAGAUCCAGGGCUUGGGAGCUGAAUCCAGACAAAUUCAGGCUAUAAAAUAAGACACAUAUUUUUAACAUUGAGGGUAAUUAAGCAGCACAGCAACCCAGCGAGGCAUUAUGGCAAAGUCUCCUUCUUUGGAAAUCUAAAUCAGGCUCAGAUGUGUUUUCUGGGAGUCAGGCAGGAAGCAGCCUGGUGCUGGGCGUCAGCAGGAAGGUGGCCCAGAGGACCACAGUGACCCAUCUGGCAGGACCAACCAGCAGCUCCAGUUAUUCUUCAGGAACCAACCAGACCCUGCAGGGAGAAUCCAGAGAAAACUUUGCCACCAGAAGUGGGAGUUGCUGGAACAGAGAGAGUGGGAAGGUCCAGCAGAGCACAUAGGGAGAGGUACUGACUUUUGUUCAAUCAAGUGAUAUGUCUGGUCAGCUCUCACGAGCUCGUCUGGAGCUCUUCCCAGCUCUAUCCCUUCAUCUAAGAGUGUUUCAUCUCCUGCCAAAGGCAGCUUCACUCCUCCUGGAAGGUGAUUGAAGGAGCAGUCACAAGCUUGGCAUUAGGAAAUUGAAAGGGACACAGAGGCAGGCUCACAGCACAGAGGAAGCUGAAAAAUAUGGAAGGGUGAAGGACAAAUGGGACAAAGUUGAUUGAUGGGAUGAAUCCAGGGAUGUAUUUAAAUACCUAGGGAUUAGGUAUUUAUGUGACUGCAGGGUUUUGCCUCACAGUUAUGAUACAAGCACUCCUUUAGUCUGUCCCCUAAUAUACAUUAAUACAGGAUAAGAUACAGGACAGGUGAGAAAAGUGGGUGUGACCCUUAAAACAAAUAGAGUAAGUAGGUUUUAAGCAGAGCAAAGCCACGCAAAAAUAAAUUUAAAGCACAAUAUUUAAUACCAGUCCAUUUUCAAAAAAGUUUAUUUUUAUAAGUAACCCUGGUAAUAUCACAGGAUAAUUUUUAUAUUUGAGCAUUACAACUGAAAUGUUUGGACAAUCAAUAGCCAAGGUUUUAUCCAAUCAAGUAACCAAUAACAAGAUAAAUAAAUUAACCAGAUUAAGGCCUUGUUUCCCCAAAACAGAAGAAUGUGUACAAAAAAGCAUAAUUACAUGAGCUUCAUCUUCUAAGUAUUCUAAAUAAGAUGCUAACAGACCUCAGGGUCACUCAAAGCAGAAUACACAUUUUCCCAGCCCAUGCCAAAUGUGCCUUGUUGCCAGUUGGUUGCUUUCCAAAUGUGUAAUAUCAAAAAUGUAGAAAAGCUCUAAGAAUCUUCCCAAAAUGUUGGCAGUAAUGACUUCUGAAGUAUGUCCCAAUCCCCACAUUGAGUAAAAUAUCUAAAUAAAAGAUCUUAUUUACAAGCACAUGUAUUCAACAUUAAUAUAUUCCCAACUGUACUUGUACACUUACAGCAAGGUAUUUUUCCUAGAAUCCACUCUAGGCUUGCCCAUAUUUUUCUAAUAUGACCCAUAUUUGUGGCUAUAGAGGAAUUACAGGAAAUCAGAACACAGAAAUGCUUGUAUUGGAGAAAAAAAAAAAAAACAAACAAAAAAAAAGCAAACAAAAAAACCCCAAAAACCUUUUCAAUGUGUGUUUCUCAUCACACAAAAAUCCCCAGGCCUGUAAAUAAAUGAAAAAAAUCCAUCUGGAAACAAAAAAAAAUAUCUUUGUGCUGUGAAAGAGGCAGGUACUAAAUUGCCACUGACAAUUAGUCAUGAGCCUGCAGAGGAGCAGGAGAAGCUGGGGAAAUGUUGCUCUUUGUGACAGGAAGUGGAACAUUAAAAUCCAGGAAAAGCCAAAAAACCCGGGAAGCAGCUUCACUGCCUCCAGGAGAUGUGGCAGUGAGAUGUGGAGCUCGAGUCCUUCAGACACCCCCUUUCUGCAGUGCUCCAGAGUUUUGGAGGAACACACGGACCAAAAAAUCCAUCCGAUUACUUGUUUCCUCUCUUUAAGGAAGAGAAGAUACACACAUAUACACACACACACACACACACAUACACACACACACACGCACACACACGCACGCACGCACACGCACGCACAGGAAUAUUUAUCUUGGCAGGGUUUGUUUACUAAUUAUUUAUGUUGGAAACAAUGCGAUUUCUGCCAAAAAACAAAGCAAACAAACAAACAAACCAACAAACCCCCCACCAACCAAAAUACCAAAACCCAACCCACAACUAAAAAGCGACCAGAACCGAUGCCGGUUUGUGAAUGAAGCGUUUCCCAGCUCAUGGUGACAGAAGGCACAGGAGUGCCAGGAGCAUCCUUCCCUGGCACAGGUUCCCAGAGCAGCUGUGGCUGCCCCUGGAUCCCUGGAAGUGCCCAAGGCCAGGCUGGACAGGACUUGGGGCAAGCUGGGACAGUGGAAGGUGUCCCUGCUGCCCAUGUCAGGAAUGGGACUGGAUGGGCUUUAAAGUCCCUCCCCACCCAGGCCUUCCUGAUUUGAGAUGAUUUAAUUCAGACCUGAAUCCCAAAAAUGAUCAUCCUCUGCAAGAAUCCUUCUGCACACCACGUAGAAAACAAUCUGCCGAGUGGCCAUGGCGCAGUCUGUGCGUGUGUGGGUGUGUUUCUAUAUAUGUAUGUGUACAUAUAUAAAAUGGUGUUUUUAUUACUAAGAAAAUGGAACAGGUUUUUGUGCUCUCACACACAGUUUUCUGACUGAAAAGAACGCAGCCUGGGGAAUUUUGGAUGCAAGCAGGGCUGACUGCUUUUGUUGAGAGCACAGCAAAAGGUCUGAAAGUGAAUCCCAAAAAUAAAGUGGCGACAAAACCUGAUGCUGUGGGCAGUGGCAGGUGAAAGGGACAGCAGGGCACGAGGGGCAGUGAUCAUGGCUCUCUGUGUCAUGCACUGACACCGCAGUACGAAAAACCAGAGGUGAUAAAGCCUUUUUCAGUGGAAAAUAAUCUUUAGACAAGACCUCACCAUCUCAGAGCAAAGUGCUGCCAACUGCCGUUAGGAUUGUUCUCGUUUAAAAACAAACAAAUCCCCACCAACACCUAGGGAUUUUGUCCUCUGAAUCCAGGGGCACGUCAGAUCCUUCGUACUGAGCAAGGAAACAGAGUUCUUUUGUGAAGCAACGAGUUCCUGGACUUUGUUCUUGAAUCUGCGCCCCUCAUGCGCCACGAGAUCAAAGUCAUCUUUUAUCCCGUGAAUUCACAGUGGCCCAAGAUAUUUGGUGACACUCCUCAGACAGUUUCAGGGAGAGAAAAUUGUGUUUUCCCUGGUUUACCUCUCUUAGUGCGGACAUCAGGGCCAUCUCCUGGCCACUGCAGGCACUGGCGGAGCAGCAGUAAAAGAAACUUAAAAAAAAAAAAAAAAAAGU